rnacentral:tRNA from 1 species
CGGGACGUAAGUCAAUGGAAGACGGCGAUAUUUGGGAUAUCGUAGCUGGGAGUUCGAGUCUCCCCGUUCCGA